UUGGCCGGCUGGAGUCCCGGCCAGGUGUCAGCAGAAGCAGAGGCAAGGAAAGGGCACCGAGUGUGGAAAGGGUGGCGGGGCAGCGUCGGGCUGAGGCACUGCGGCCGUUCUCGCCACCGCCGUUCGCCCUUUGCUCAGCAUCCCAUAGGUGCUCUACUGACGAGGAGAGCUGAACGCCGUCACCUUCCUCUGACAGCCGCUGCCAACGGAGGGAGCGACGCGCCGGCUUGUCCGGCGGCUGGUCCCCUCUUGGGACCCUCGCCUUGCUCUGGAGAGAGUCAAGCCUCUCUCUCUCUGUACCUCAGGACCCGCCACCUCCUCUGGAGCUGCUGGAGAGAUCAGGGUACGCCGCUGCCGAGGCGAGAGAUUCUUCAGCUAGUUUAUUGCACUGAGGAUAGAAAUAACCAUGGGGAGGAAGUUGGAUUUGUCUGGCUUGACUGAUGAUGAAGCCGAACAUGUCCUUCAGGUAGUCCAACGAGAUUUCACCCUCCGCAAAAAAGAAGAAGAUCGACUGAGGUGAGACUUCUGUAGGUAAUCGUACAGUAUGAGAAACCAGUUUGUUUUAGAAUAUGUGCAACUAAAUUGUUCCUUUAGCUGUUCUUGUUCAUUGGUUUGAAUUCCACUACAUUGUCAAUAGUCUUAACCAGAAUUUGAAAGUAACUAGUUAGAAGUAAUAUAUCUUCCUAAAACUAAUUUCUUUUUCAGUAAUCCGUAUUGUAGUAGUGAUAGUAUUGCAACAUUAGCAAUAUAAGAGUAGUUACAAAGGUUAAUUUUCAUGUGUAAUGAGUAACAUUGUUGAGUUACUUUCAGUUAUUUCAUAGAAUCAUAGAAUAGUGAAGUUGGAAGGGGCCUAUAAGGCCAUAAUGUCCAACCCCCUGCUUGAUGCAGGAAUACAAAUCAAAGGAUAUCUGCUAAGUUUCUCUUGAAUGCCUCUGGUGUUGGAGCACUUACCACCUCUUGAGGUAAUUGAUUCCAUUGCUGUACUGCUCUAACAGUUAGGAAGUUUUUCCUGAUACUCAAAUAAAAUCUGGCUUCCUGUAACUUGAGUUUCGUGU
rnacentral:lncRNA from 1 species